rnacentral:rRNA from 1 species
GAUGAACGCUGGCGGCGUGCCUAACACAUGCAAGUCGAGCGAUUCUCUUCGGAGAAGAGCGGCGGACGGGUGAGUAACGCGUGGGUAACCUGCCCUGUACACACGGAUAACAUACCGAAAGGUAUGCUAAUACGAGAUAAUAUGCUUUAUCGCAUGGUAGAAGUAUCAAAGCUUUUGCGGUACAGGAUGGACCCGCGUUUGAUUAGCUAGUUGGUAAGGUAACGGCUUACCAAGGCGACGAUCAGUGGCCGACCUGAGAGGGUGAUCGGCCACAUUGGAACUGAGACACGGUCCAAACUCCUACGGGAGGCAGCAGUGGGGAAUAUUGCACAAUGGGCGAAAGCCUGAUGCAGCAACGCCGCGUGAGCGAUGAAGGCCUUCGGUCGUAAAGCUCUGUCUCAAGGAAGAUAAUGACGGUACUUGAGGAGGAAGCCCCGGCUAACUACGUGCCAGCAG